GCAUUGGUGGUUCAGUGGUAGAAUUCUCACCUUCCAUACGGGAGCCCUGGUUCGAUUCCUGGCUGAUGCA
rnacentral:tRNA from 1 species